AAGUCGUAACAAGGUUUCCGUAGGUGAACCUGCGGAAGGAUCAUUAACACGUAUCCAACGUAAAAAACCCCCCUGUGAACAUUCAAACCUGCUCUCGUAGCCCAAUCAUUGUCGAACAGCUUUUGAUUCGGGACUUCUGACAAAUGAGAAGUUACAGUUACGAUUGAGCGGAGAUAGCUGCAUGGCAUCCCGAAGCAGUCAGUGUCUGAAAGUGUCAUUGAUUGUCUAAGGAUCUCGCCUCAACGAUUGCUAGAGGUCGCUCACCGACCGGCAGACAUGCAACCGGGUCCCCACGCCCCUUUACAACCCGAUUACCUCUGUGAGUCUAGGCGGACGCACUAGGCUAAAAAACCUCGAACAACUGUUAACAAUGGAUAUCUUGGUUCUC
rnacentral:misc_RNA from 1 species